ensembl:lncRNA
AGAGCAGUCUUGCUGCUGCAGGACUACACGAGGAUACAACAGGAGACUUUUAAUUUGGUUUAUCAGCAGGUCAUAUGAAUUUCAGCAAAGUGUUCCAGUCUACCUCAUCUUUUUUUUUUUUUUUUUCAUUUUUAGAAAAUAAAUCAGACUUCAUAACAUAGGCAAGAUGUUAUGAGAAACGCCCCUGAGUUCUGGUCUGAAAAUCACCAUGUCUCUGGAAAGGAGAAGGCUGGAGCACCCCUCCUACGAAGAGAGGCUGACGGAGCUGGGCUUGCUCAGCCUGGAGAAGAGAAGGCUCCAGAGAGACCUCACUGUGUUCAGCCAGUACUUAAAGGGAGAUUAUAAACAGGAGGGGAAUGAACUUUUAAAACAGGCCCCUCCAGAGCACAACAUUGAUGCCAAGACCACAAAUGGAAGCCACAAGGAGGAAAAUGAUAAGCAUCUUUGCAUUUCCUGGCACUCAGGCUGCCUCAGCAAGGAAUUCAUUCCCUGCCUGAACUGCUCAGCAGUAUGCACACCAUUUUACAUGUGAGUAAUGUGAGCCAUUUUGAUGCUUAAGUGUCCUGGCCAAAGUCUUGGAGGAGUCGUGGCCACAGAUGCAUAAACAGAGCUUGUAUGUCUUGUCUCUAAAUCAUGCUGACUAAGCACUAUGAGAAGUUUCUUGUCCCUCAUCAGCUCAGGUAGAUUCCUUUGUGCUAAAUCACUAGUAGUAAAAAGUAAAAAACAAUUAGAAUAAUUAACUCCUACAUAACCAUGUCAUGAUGCACUUUGCAAAGAUCUCCAAGAAUCCCUUAUCGCUGUUUUGCAUCUGGCUCAGCUGAAGCACUGGAAAGUGAAAUCAUUCAGCCCCAGGCCUGUCCUUUUCAGUCCUAGGUGUGUCUGAGUUCAGAGGCACUCUAAGGUCACCAUGAACUCUUGGAUCUCAGCUCUCUGCUGUCCAAGGUGCAGGACUGUCCUUAGGCAACACCAGGACACCAAAAAUGGAGCCAAAACAUCCCUUGGGCAAGAGAAGGAGGAUGAGCUGGUGCGUUGCGUGGGUGAUGAGAUAGGACUCGAUGCACAGUCCUGGACGAUGCCAUUUCUCCCAGCUCCAAGCAGAGGGUGGUUUCUGCAUCUCUAAACAUUUCUUUUUUUUUUUUCUUUUUUUUUUUUUUUGUGGAUCUCAUAGUAGGCUGUUUUGGCUUACCUGACACCUCAUUUCCAUAAUCGUGCUGCUUUGCGUAACUGGGAACACUUGUUCUCACCAUGGGUAAAGCAAGCAUUAGCUGGCAUGGAUCUCAGCAGAUUAUGCACCUCAAGGA